GCGGCGACGCAAAUUACGGCACUAAUUCUCCUCAAUUUUGCUCUGUUCAUGAAAACGCCGUCAGCAACCAAUAGAGCAACGAAAUUUCAGGCAUUAUCUAAUUAAACGUGAUUUCAAUAACAAUUUCAAAAUUUUCAGUAUGCAGUUGUUUGCCAAUUGAAGCAUAUUUAAUAAUGGGAGAAGAAGUAUAGAUAAAGAGUACGAGCCCAGAUCUGAGAGCGACAAUAUGGAUGAUGCAUUUGGGAAUGAUUAAGAUGACAAACCGCUGAGGAAGAAGAGAUCUAUCAGAGCGGCCCUUACAAUAUUUGGUCUAUUUUGCAGGUCAUUGAUAAGGUACCUUUCGAUUCAUAGUAAAAUAUUUUAAUAUAUAUUCGAUCGUGGAUUUUGUUGUCUACUUUUGUAUUUCAAUUACUUUAGUUGAUGGUAGUUUACAAUUGAUUUUAGUGAUUUAUUUGAUAAUCUUGCUGAGAUGUAAUAAUGCUUCUUGUGAUUCACUUGAAUUAAAUAUUUUAGAUAAUCUUAGCGUUAAA